GCAUAAGGAAUUCGAUGGAUUACGCCAACUGAAAUCAAUUACCCCAUACGUUUCAUUCAUGCAAUUAUUUAACACCGAACCCAUCAUGGAAUUGGGUAGGGUUUUCACCCCUGCCCCAACUCAUCGACCUUGUUGUUCUGGGCUUCUUUUUCGAUUUAUGGGAUGUUGUUAAUGGGUAUGAACAGAGUUUAGACAUUGCACAAAAUCAAUCAAAGAAGAUGUAAUCGGGAGAACCGAAUCCACGACUGUAAGUUUUAAAUCAUUCGAUUUGUUGAUUCCAAACAAAAGUUUUCACUUCUAAUUUACAACAGAUUUCAUGGUAUUGUUUGCUAAAUGAUUUGUAAAGUUUUUAUCUCAUUCCACUUUGGAUUUCGAUUACUCUUCCUAUUCAACUGUUUUGAUUUAAUUGACGAUUGUGUGACUUUAGUUUAGGUUUAUUCAUGGCGAUUUUGCAAUUAGGGCUUUUAAUUGCUGUUUAUGAUGUUGAAUUUCGAAUUACUUUGAUUUAGCCUUGAAGGUCAGUUACCAUUGAUGAUAUUUAAUUUGAUAAUGUUUAACUUAUGGUUGACUCUGGAUUAAAGCUCAGGCAAUUUCAUACAUCAGUUGUUAGUAUCGCUAGGUUUGUAAUUCUUGCCUAAAUCGCUUUCUAAUUCACAAGGGAUUUGACGGUAGUUGAUAAUCGAUUUUAAUGAACAGAAUCAUCACUUCUGAUGCCAGGUUUCGAAGUUAGGAUUUCAAAUGAUUCAAUCAACCAGUUUCCUAAUCUUUAAAGAUUGGUUUGUCAUAUUAAAAACGUGUAUUUUGAUGUUUGUUACCUGUAAUGGUAAUUGGGCUGAGAGAAAAAAAAUUGCUUCCUGAUUAAUUGAGUUUUCCAAAGACUUCCUUUUUUGGAUUAAUUUCGAUCCGUUUACUUCUUUCUCGAGAUUUUGUAUUUUUUUCAUUGAUUUUGAAAUCGGGAAGAAGAGUCAAAGGAUCAAUAUAGUGAGUUUCCAAACAUUGUUUUACCGAUUUAAGAUCAGGUUUUUGGCAAGUUAAUUGUUGCUGGUUUGCAGGGUUUAGCUAUUUGGAUUAUUUUUGUUAAAGGGGUAGUGGCUGCUGUUGUGUUAAAUGUUGUUUGGAGCAGGAUUUUUUGCAAGACAAGUUCAGUUAAUCUUUGCUGUUUGCUGACUCUGUUUUCCUCCAUCUAUCUCUCUCUUUUUGUAGUUAGCCUUUCAAUCAAUGAAGAAUCUUGUUUCAUUUGAGUUAAACAUUGUUGCUUCUACAAUUACUUGAUUUUCCAUUUUUGAGCUAUCUAUAUAUUUUGUAACUAUUUGGCAUAUGAUAUGACAAUCAACGUAGACAUAUUCUGUUAGUUUGCGAGCAAAUAGUGGUAAUAGGUUGGAAAUGAAUGUAUAUGAUUGUGGGAUUAUACAAUGCCUUCAACUCCUGAUCUGAAAAGGUCCAUCUUCCACCGACUCAGGUAAGUAACUCUUUACUCGAUCUACUCCACCCUACAUAUCACAUGUUAAACUGAUGUUGAAAUUAGGGAUUUGAUUUAGUGUGCAUAAGAUUCUCUUUUUUUUAACAUCUCUGCUAACCCAAAUGAAAAUUAGGUUUAUCAUGUUUCAAAAAUAUACUUCUUAAAUGUAUAUGUAUAACCGCAACAGCCUCCGGUUUUCAAAUCAAAUCGAGAAGAAGAAGAACACAUCAAAUCCAGAAUCUCGGAGGUAUAUUCAGGAAUCAAUAGGUUAUUCAAUCUUGUAACUAUGUGAUUUCUGGUUCUGUGUCUUGCAUUUUGUUUCCUACAUGUUUUGAUCCGUGAUGUUUUUUGGAUAUUCUAUUCGGAUUUGGAGCUAUGAUUGUUUAUGAGUUGUUUGAUGAUAUGCGUCUGAGGCAAUGUUCGUGUAUGCAUGUUUUUAUUCUGUUUGAUAUCGUUAAUAAUGUAAUUAUUGUUAAAAAUAUCUGAUGAUCGUCAAGGCGUUUUAAGUUUUUAUGACCUGCUUCUUUUCUUCCAGCCUGGAACCCGUCAAUCCUUCCAUUUUCCUUUUCAGUGCUGAAGACAGCCAGACAUACCAAAGAAGUAGGGCUUCUCCUCUUCUUUUCUCCCCUUCUGAAUCAUGAGUAUCUAAAGAGGAUGAAUGGCGCACAAAUGAAAUCUCAAAUCUCCCAAAAUUCAAAUUUCAAAUCUCUGAUAUAAAGUCACACCUUCUACACUCGAUCAAUGUUCUGUAUUUAGAGAGUCAAACCACAGGUUGUUCUUGCAUAUCAAUCUUCUAUUUAAUCCCCGUCUCUGUUCUUAAUCCAUCCGUGAUUGAAAAUUUGAAAGCGGUGGGUGGGGGCUUAUCUCUCUCUCUCUCUCUCAAGAUUUCGCCCUUCAUCAUCCUAUGGCUACCUAAAUUAUACGUCGUUUGCCCUACGCAAGGUUUAAUUUGAUCUCAAUUGUUUCUUUGGUUGAAGAUUUGUUGUUUUAUGGCCACUGAAGUUGAAUUGAGGUUGGUCUACAUUGGUUCACCAAGAAAAAGAGGUUCGUAUUAUGUUCAAACAAUGAAAUUAAAUCUAUUUAGUCUUGUGUAUCCAAUAUCUUAAUUAAUUACUCUCAAAGCAGCAACCAAGAAUCAAAUUUAGGGUUUCGUUCGUCUGCACCUUUAAUCGAAUUAGAGAGGAGAUAAUUGCAACAUCCCAACCUGUUACUGUAUUUCUCAUUUGAUUCGAUAUGUAGUAUUUGGUUGUAAAAAAUACAACUUGAUCACUUUAUCAUCUUGCUGCCCAAAUAAUUUGUAGAUAAUCAACCAAUUUGCUGUCAAAAUUACAAUUUGUUAUUUAUUGAUGGUUUAGUACUUAUUUUUAUUUCCUUUGUUUCAUGUGAAUAUCAUUUAUCUGCUGGUCUUGGAACUAAUAAAGUUGUUGCGGAGCGCUGGGCACUGGACGUGUAGCUGGGCUGAAGUAUUUGGGCUGUGAACAGAUCUUGUUGUGGUCUGUAACAUUAUGGUUGGUCUUCUGGUGGGCUACUUCUCAUCAGCUACUUGCUGAGGUAAGUGCAUAUGAGUCCCUGAUUUACAUUCGAUUGUACGCGUCUUAUGUCUGCAGAGGUUCAUUAUGAACUUGUAGAAGAGUUUCUGGUCAAGUGUGUAUUAUUUAUUUUCUUGUGUUGUAUAAAAACCAUUUGAAGAGUUUUUGUUAUGUUUUCGUCAAGCAUCUACAACAAUUACCAAGGACCAUGUAAAGUUGGAAAGUGGAACUACUCGGGCAGUCUUCAAGAAUAUGUUUGAACUCAAGCAAUUAUAGAAUUAUACAACUCCGUUUAACACACGGGUCUAGAUAGGGUUGUCCAAAAAGCUUGCGGCUUGGAGCUUGCUUGGAUUUAGCUCGGAAAAAGCUCACUCGAUAUGGCUCGGUUUGAAACUGAACCGAGUCCGCUCGGCUCGAUUAGAAAGUGAGCCUGGCUCGGCUCGUCUUGUAACGAGCCGGAUUGGCUUACUCGUUAGCUUCGCUUGGGCUAGGUUAGAUUAUUUAUUUUAAAAAACGAUUAUUAUUUGUAUUCAUUAAGAGUGCAAAUGGAUAUGUGUGGCGUAUUUAGGGGUUGAUUACCAUGCUAAUAAAUUGAUAUUGU